UACAGAGACUGCAAGCGUUAUUCGGAUUCACUGGGCGUAAAGGGUGCGCAGGCGGUUGUGUGUGUCAGGUGUGAAAGCCCGGGGCUUAACCCCGGAAUUGCGCCUGAAACUACAUGACUAGAGCAUUGGAGAGGGUAGCGGAAUUCACGGUGUAGCAGUGAAAUGCGUAGAUAUCGUGAGGAACACCAGAGGCGAAGGCGGCUACCUGGACAAUUGCUGACGCUCAGGCACGGAAAGCGUGGGGAGCAAACAGG
rnacentral:rRNA from 1 species